UUUUAUGGAGAGUUUGAUCCUGGCUCAGGAUGAACGCUGGCGGCGUGCCUAAUACAUGCAAGUCGAGCGAACGGACGAGAAGCUUGCUUCUCUGAUGUUAGCGGCGGACGGGUGAGUAACACGUGGAUAACCUACCUAUAAGACUGGGAUAACUUCGGGAAACCGGAGCUAAUACCGGAUAAUAUUUUGAACCGCAUGGUUCAAAAGUGAAAGACGGUCUUGCUGUCACUUAUAGAUGGAUCCGCGCUGCAUUAGCUAGUUGGUAAGGUAACGGCUUACCAAGGCAACGAUGCAUAGCCGACCUGAGAGGGUGAUCGGCCACACUGGAACUGAGACACGGUCCAGACUCCUACGGGAGGCAGCAGUAGGGAAUCUUCCGCAAUGGGCGAGAGC
rnacentral:rRNA from 1 species